AGUCCUCCAGCCGCCCGGGGAAUACCUCUAGUUCUUCCCGGCCGCCGCCGCCUCCGCCCCGCCGCUUCCUCCUCCGCCUGCCGGCCUCCUUCGCCCCGCCCCGUCCGCGCAGCUCGUCCGGCCCGCCCGCAGGCCAGCUUCUCUCGGGAGCCUCCACCCAGGCGCAUGGCUCCAUGAAGCAAGAGGAGGAGGCAGAGCGCGAGAGAUCCCGUCCGCCCCAGCCGCGUCUGGGCCAGGAGAAAAGCAAAACCAUAUUCCUGCUGCUGUCAGUUUUGAUGCACUGAGAAAACUUCAGAGACCUAAGCUUUUUCCAGAGAAGAGAAGCUUUACUGGUGUUCCAGCCCUAAGAAACUUAAAUCCUCAGUGUGACACAACUCAGUCCUUCUACUGCAGCAGCUCUUUUAUAAAAGCCUCCCAAAGCUCCAAGAAGGAACAAAGAAUGUGACCCAGUAAGCUCACACCAUAAGUCUAUAUUGCAGAAACCUUUGUUCAACAAAACUGCAGAUGCUCUGUUGAAUCCACUGGAGAUUGUCCUGAUACUAAGGACAAGUAUGGGAAUUUCUACUUAUCUUAAAAACAUAUAUAGAUAUUGAUCUGCGGAGAAAUAUAUCUCUGUUAUUUCAAGGCUCAUAUGACAUUAACAGACAAGACACUUUUCAGAAAGACAGAAACUACUCUGAAAAACUCUCUUAAUGCUUUUUACGGCCGGGUGCGGUGGCUGGAGCCUGUAAUC
ensembl:lncRNA NUTM2A-AS1 NUTM2A antisense RNA 1